CCUACGGGUGGCAGCAGUGGGGAAUAUUGGGCAAUGGAGGCAACUCUGACCCAGCAACGCCGCGUGAAUGAUGAAGGUCUUCUGAUUGUAAAGUUCUGUGAUGGGGGAUGUACACAAUGACGGUACCCCAAUAGCAAGCCACGGCUAACUACGUGCCAGCAGCCGCGGUAAUACGGCGGUGGCAAGCGUUAUCCGGACUGACUGGGUGUAAGGGGUGAGUAGGUGGUUUAGUAAGUUAGCGGUGUAAUUUCGGGGCUCAACCGUGGCGUUACCGUCAAAACUAGUAGUCUAGAGUGCAGGAGAGGUAAGUGGAAUUCGUGGUGUAGCGGUGGAAUGCGUAGAUAUUAGGAGGAACAUCAGGUGCGAAGGCGACUUACUGGACUGUAACUGACACUGAGGCACGAAAGCGUGGGGAGCAAACAGGAUUAGAUACCCGAGUAGUC
rnacentral:rRNA from 1 species